UGGGGCGUAGCCAAGUGGUAAGGCAACGGGUUUUGGUCCCGCUAUUCGGAGGUUCGAACCCUUCCGUCCCAG
rnacentral:tRNA from 1 species